rnacentral:lncRNA from 1 species
CCUGCCCCACCCACCUUCCCCUCCUCCCUCACUCACAGUCAUCCCACAAGUAUGUUGGGAGCCAUUGCUAUGCGUGCACAUGGAUUACCCAGCAGAAGGGACCAUGACCCGAUCCUUGGACAGAGGAGGACUGAUGUAGGGAACAUUGCAAGUGAUGAAACACAAAGAAAAUGCAAUUUCAGUGGAUGUGACCAGUGUCUUCAAGUUCCUGCUGUCCUCACUUCUCCACAGUUGAACACUUAGCUGGGAUCAAAACUCCAUGACCAGGAAGUCCGGAGCCUAGGGUGAUGAUUUACGCCCCCAUGUGGAAGAAGGAAGAGGUACUGAUACUAUGGGUUGGAAUUUAAUCUGAGGAUUUGUCCAUCACCACCCCUUCCCUGGCUACUCUGGAGAAAGGAGCUGGGAUUACCAAGGGCAAGAUGACCUGGCCCAGGUCUCAAGUCCAGGAUGGAGGACUCUUUGCCAGGGCAGUACGGUUUUCCCAUUUUCCAUAUGCCAUAGGCAGGAGACAACCACCUUCUACUUCCCUUUCAGGAGACUCACCAGUGAUUAGCUGAUACCAAGUCUGUGGACCUUAGACUCAGAAAGCUGGGCAUCUGGCAUUCCCACUGCUGCUUCCUGACCCAGGCCAGGGCCCCAGGCCUUGCCCUAUAAACUACCCAUGUAACCCUCCACUUUUGUUGCUUUCCAAGCAGGAAUCAAGAGAGGACAGACUUCCCUUCCUCCCUCCCUCCCUUCCUCCCUCCUUGCCUCCUUCCUCCCUUUCUUCCAUUUUUGUGUGUGGGUAUAUGUGUGUAUUCAAGUGUGCAUAUGGAGUCCAGAAAACAACCUCUAGUGUCAUUUCUCAAGUUCUGUCCACCUUUGUCUUUUUUUGAGACAGUUUCUCAUCACACUGGAAUGCGCCAAAUUGGCUUGGCUGACCAGCUAGCCCAGGGUCCCUCCCAUCUCUGCUGGAAUUACAGGCCUGAGCCACCAGAAUCAGCUUUAUUAACAUGGUUUGGAGGUGGAGCUCAGGCCUUCAUGCAAAUCGAGUGCUUUACUGACUGAGCCACUCCCUAGCCCAGGAGGCUAUUAAACCAGAUCCAGAGCACAGAGAAAGAUGGGACUUUCAACCUCCCCUCCAUGUCCAAGAAGACACAUGAACACAUCAGUAGAUCAGAGUAAUGUGAAAUCCAUUCAGCUGCUGGAGGUGCUGUCCACUUUGCUUUUUGAGACAGGGUCUCUCAUGGGUGAAACCCAUGAGUAAUUUGCUCACCUCUGUCUCCCCCACACUGACAGCCCAUAUGCAGCCAUGCUCAGAUUCUUUUUUAUGUUAGUUCUGAGCAUCUAUAUGCUUUCCAAGCAAACAUUUUACUGAUUGAGCCAUCUCACCAGCCUCAUUAGAUGAUGCCAAGUGGGUUUUCUGUGUCCUCCAUGGCUGAGUAGGAAAGGAGAGGCUGCUUCGCACACAGGGUUACACACACAUGACCUCUUGGGUGGUCCACACGCUCGAGGCCACAACGUUUCAGUGUGCUAACGGCAGUCCCAUCCAGUGUGAAGCUGCAGAGUGAAGGCAUGGCCCCACCUACAGACAACUGCAGCCUCUUUCCCAAGCUGACAUCAAACUAGCCAGCCCAGGAUAUUUUCUCAGAGCACCAGAAGGGAAACCAUGACAAUCCCUACAGCAUGUCUCCCUGCUGUGGAUUCCAUUUUCCUAAAGAUUCACUUUGUUUUUAUUUUGGGGCAGUGGUGGUCUGGAGGGCAGAAGAGUGUUGGAUGCCCUUGAAGCUGGAGUCACUGGCAGUUAUGAGUUACGUGGCAUGGAUGGUGGGAACUAAACUUUGGUCCUCUAGAUGAGCAUCAAGCAGUCUUAACCGGUGGAUGAGCCAUCUCUCCAGCUCCCUACAAUGAUUUGAACAUCAAAUGUCUCCCAUUGGGUCUCAAAUAUCCCCAAAGGCCUAUAUGUUGAGGCUUGGUCCCAGCUUGGUGCUGUAGGGAGUGUCUUAAUUUCCCUUCCUUUGCUUUGGUAAAAUAUCCUGUCCUGGCUAAUUUUAUGUCAGCCUGACACUAGCUAGAGCCAUCCGAGAAAAAAGAACUUCAAUUAGAAAAUUCCUCCAUAAAAU